rnacentral:rRNA from 1 species
CAGUCGCCGCGGUAAUACGGAGGGAGCUAGCGUUGUUCGGAAUUAUUGGGCGUAAAGGGCUCGCAGGCGGUUUCUUAAGUCUGAUGUGAAAGCCCCCGGCUCAACCGGGGAGGGUCAUUGGAAACUGGGAAACUUGAGUGCAGAAGAGGAGAGUGGAAUUCCACGUGUAGCGGUGAAAUGCGUAGAGAUGUGGAGGAACACCAGUGGCGAAGGCGACUCUCUGGUCUGUAACUGACGCUGAGGCACGAAAGCGUGGGGAGCAAACAGGAUUAGAUACCCCGGUAGUCCCUGUCUCUUAUAC